GACGAACGCUGGCGGCGUGCCUAAUACAUGCAAGUAGAACGCUGAAGGAGGAGCUUGCUUCUCUGGAUGAGUUGCGAACGGGUGAGUAACGCGUAGGUAACCUGCCUGGUAGCGGGGGAUAACUAUUGGAAACGAUAGCUAAUACCGCAUAACAGUAGAUAUCGCAUGAUAUCUACUUGAAAGGUGCAAUUGCAUCACUACCAGAUGGACCUGCGUUGUAUUAGCUAGUUGGUGAGGUAACGGCUCACCAAGGCGACGAUACAUAGCCGACCUGAGAGGGUGAUUGGCCACACUGGGACUGAGACACGGCCCAGACUCCUACGGGAGGCAGCAGUAGGGAAUCUUCGGCAAUGGACGGAAGUCUGACCGAGCAACGCCGCGUGAGUGAAGAAGGUUUUCGGAUCGUAAAGCUCUGUUGUAAGAGAAGAACGAGUGUGAGAGUGGAAAGUUCACACUGUGACGGUAUCUUACCAGAAAGGGACGGCUAACUACGUG
rnacentral:rRNA from 1 species